UUGGAGGGCAAGUCUGGUGCCAGCAGCCGCGGUAAUUCCAGCUCCAAUAGCGUAUAUUAAGGUUGUUGCAGUUAAAAAGCUCGUAGUUGAAUUUCGGAAUCUGUCCAUCGGUCGGGCUUCACUGUCCGUACUGGUGUGGUGGGUUCCUACCUUCUGAAUAACCAGCAUGCCAUUCAUUUGGUGCGCUGGGGAAGCAGGACUAUUACCUUGAAAAAAUUAGAGUGCUCAAAGCAGGCCAGUGCCUGAAUACAUUAGCAUGGAAUAAUAAAAUAGGACGGCAUGGUUCUAUUUUGUUGGUUUCUAGGAUCACCGUAAUGAUUAAUAGGGAUAGUUGGGGGCAUUAGUAUUCAAUUGUCAGAGGUGAAAUUCUUGGAUUUAUUGAAGACUAACUUCUGCGAAAGCAUUUGCCAAGGAUGUUUUCAUUAAUCAAGAACGAAAGUUAGGGGAUCGAAGACGAUCAGAUACCGUCGUAGUCUUAACCAUAAACUAUGCCGACUAGGGAUCGGACGAUGUUAAUUUUUUAAUGACUCGUUCGGCGCCUUACGGGAAAC
rnacentral:rRNA from 1 species